rnacentral:rRNA from 1 species
UACGGAGGGAGCUAGCGUUGUUCGGAAUUACUGGGCGUCAAGCGCACGUAGGCGGCUUUGUAAGUUAGAGGUGAAAGCCCGGGGCUCAACCCCGGAAUUGCCUUUAAGACUGCAUCGCUUGAAUCCAGGAGAGGUGAGUGGAAUUCCGAGUGUAGAGGUGAAAUUCGUAGAUAUUCGGAAGAACACCAGUGGCGAAGGCGACUCGCUGGACAAGUAUUGACGCUGAGGUGCGAAAGCGUGGGGAGCAAACAGG